rnacentral:rRNA from 1 species
GGGGGCAACCCUGGCGGCGAGCGGCGAACGGGUGAGUAACACAUCGGAACGUACCCAAUCGUGGGGGAUAACACAUCGAAAGAUGUGCUAAUACCGCAUAAGUCCUGAGGGAGAAAGCGGGGGAUCGCAAGACCUCGCGCGAAUGGAGCGGCCGAUGUUCGAUUAGCUAGUUGGUGGGGUAAAGGCCUACCAAGGCGACGAUCGAUAGCUGGUCUGAGAGGACGACCAGCCACACUGGAACUGAGACACGGUCCAGACUCCUACGGGAGGCAGCAGUGGGGAAUUUUGGACAAUGGGGGCAACCCUGAUCCAGCCAUUCCGCGUGAGUGAAGAAGGCCUUCGGGUUGUAAAGCUCUUUCGGCAGGAACGAAACGGUGAAGGCUAAUACCUUUUACUAAUGACGGUACCUGAAGAAGAAGCACCGGCUAACUACGUGCCAGCAGCCGCGGUAAUACGUAGGGUGCGAGCGUUAAUCGGAAUUACUGGGCGUAAAGCGUGCGCAGGCGGUUUUGUAAGACAGCUGUGAAAUCCCCGGGCUCAACCUGGGAACUGCGGUUGUGACUGCAAGACUGGAGUGUGGCAGAGGGGGGUGGAAUUCCACGUGUAGCAGUGAAAUGCGUAGAGAUGUGGAGGAACACCGAUGGCGAAGGCAGCCCCCUGGGUCAACACUGACGCUCAUGCACGAAAGCGUGGGGAGCAAACAGGAUUAGAUACCCUGGUAGUCCACGCCCUAAACGAUGCCAACUAGGUGUUGGGAAAGGAGACUUCCUUAGUGCCGUAGCUAACGCGUGAAGUUGGCCGCCUGGGGAGUACGGUCGCAAGAUUAAAACUC